UUUGUUGAACCUCAUGAUGUUCUCCUGAGUGCACUGCUCAGCCUGUCUGGGUCCCCCUAGAUGGCAUCCCAUCCCUGUAACAGAGGAGACCAUAGCAGUCUAUAUGGUCCCUCUCUAUUAGGCUGGUUAAAUCCAUUCAUAGUAACAAAGUCCUUUUUUUAUUUGGCUGUUAAUGAUGCACACUUCCCUGGUGGUGGUGGUGGACAAGAGUGACUCUAGGGCACACAAGACAAGGCCUCUGGGGUGCGCUAAUAAUAAUAAUAAUAAUAAUAAUAAUGUUCUUCUCCAGGAACAAUCCUGUCCAGCCUUCAGAAGUCACUUACUGUCCUAGUGAUCAGCCUUUGGGACUCGGCAAUGUAAGCAAAUGUAUCCACUGUACCUGAGACACAAUCAAGGCUCUAGUCUCCCAUACUAGACCUGGAGGACUACUGCUAUUUUGGGAACUGAAGUUGCUUCCAAAUCAAGUCCUCUGCUCGUGCCAAGCUGCUUUCAGCAGCCUCUGUGUCUGGCAAAGGCCUCUCAGCCCAGCAAGUGUCAGAGCAGUGGAACCAGCGCCUUCCUUAGUCCUUGAUUUAGAAGAUCAGCUACUCAAACAACGAACAUCAAAAAGAUGUUCAACAUCCACAGCAUCCAAGGACCUCAAGAAAACCUCAGGAAAUGAUGUUGGAAAAUUUCUAAUAUAUAUGGAGAUGUCUGGAGAUGAUUCAGGAUAAGGGUUACAGACAUUCAGAGUUACUGCUGGCAUAAACAAAUGAUCACACAUGGAUCAAAAAGCCCCUUUGGUAAGAACAUUAAGUGUUUGUGUAUUUGGAAGAUCUAUCUAAAUAAUCAUCAAGAGAUCAAAUAAUUGCUCUUCAACAGCUGACACAAUCUGCUGCUGCCUGAACUGCAUUUUUUUUAUUUCUUCCUGCCCUCAUCAUUCCAUCAGAAAUACUAUCUGGACACAAAAUGGAAAAAAGUUUGACACUUUAUGAGAAGAUCAGACUUGUUCUCAUAAGCAGCUUAUGAAAUCAGACCUGGUAGUAACUGAAGGGACACAUUGGCCACACACA